rnacentral:rRNA from 1 species
UUGGGGUUGCGGACAUAUCAUAACGAAGAGGUAUCGUAAUUGAAGAGGUUUGGAAAGACCCACCACAGAAGGUAAUAGUCCUGUAUGUUAAACGAGAAGACUUUAGAUAUGAUCCAGAGUACCACGGGACACGUGAAACCCUGUGGGAAGCAGGAGGGACCACCCUCCAAGGCUAAAUACUACCUAGUGACCGAUAGCGUAUAGUACCGUGAGGGAAAGGUGAAAAGAACCCCGGGAGGGGAGUGAAAUAGAACCUGAAACCCUGCACUUACAAGCUGUGGAAGCACAUUUCUUGUGUGACCGCGUACUUUUUGUAGAACGGGCCAACGAGUUACGUUAAGUAGCAAGGUUAAGCACUUAAGGUGCGGAGCCGUAGCGAAAGCGAGUUUUAACUGAGCGUUCAGUUACUUGACGUAGACCCGAAACCGGGCGACCUACCCAUGAGCAGGAUGAAGCGAAAGUAAAAUUUCGUGGAGGUCCGAACCCACGAGCGUUGAAAAGCUCGGGGAUGACUUGUGGGUAGCGGUGAAAUUCCAAUCGAGCCCGGAGAUAGCUGGUUCUCCCCGAAAUAGCUUUAGGGCUAGCCUCAAGGUGAG